rnacentral:lncRNA from 1 species
AAUGGUGAGAUACAUUUCUAAUUAAUAGUAAUUUCACUACUAAGAUCUCACAAAAUUAGUAUUCUAACUAGGAGCGUAUAUAGGUCGCAUUGGUCCAAAUUUUUCAAUUAUCAAACCAAACUAAUGGCAUCAGGUUUUAAUAUUUAUAAAUCAAACCAAACAACAAAGUCGGAUUUUUUAUCUUGGGUUUUUGGAUUUUUUUCAAUAAAAUCCAUAGCACAAUAUAAGUAAAUUGUCCUCAAAAUAUUUCUUUAGUCCUAGUAGUGUACAACUAUAAUAAUGUAUUUUUCAAACGACAAUAAUACAAUAUUAUAAGAUGAGUCAGCAUCGUACAAAAAUAUUCAGUAACAUACAAAAUCACAUAAAAUAAAUAUUAAUAAUUGAUAAAUCAUAAUAAAAAUAAAUAUAAUCUAAAGUAUUAUAUAGAUCAUGCUAAAAUAAGUGCUACAAUUAUGGGAACCUCCAUGGAAUAUUGUUGUACAAGUAAAAGAGAUUAAAAAUCUCAUAUCCAUGUGUAUAGUUGCAGUAACACGUGUUCUAAGGGAAAGCAAUAAGUUAGCUAAUCAUCUUGCUGUCUUAACUUUGCAGAGGAAUGAACGCAUUCAGGCUACAUCUUUUAAUAAGUUGGACACCUACGGGAGAAAGAUUUGAACAGUGCUAAGCUCCAACUCCCAUACAUAGAGUAAGGAGGGAUACCGCUAAGCAUAUAGUGAAUGGAUCGAAGGAUUGAUUAGGGUGGUGUACUAUGAUUGUUGGAGAGGUUACUGUCGAGCCAUCAAUGUGAUACAAGAGUUGGUGAUGGUCGUACCAAUCUUCCUACUCAAAUCUGUAAAGAAGAGAGUAUGAAG